AUUUUGUUGAUGUAGUGAUCUACUCAUUCUACAAUGUGUUUUCUGGUGUUUUUGAAGUACUAAUUUUGAAAUAUGCAAUAUUUAGUGAACUCUUCAAUGUUUGUAUUUGGAAUUUGUGUGUUCCUGAAAUGCUCAAUUUAAUUGAAUUGAAUAAUUAUGACUUACAGUAUUGUUGGUUUGUCUUCACUUGAUCUGUCUUCACGGGCUUUACAGCAUAUCCCCCCUUAUUUGGUCUGUCUUCACAUGCUUUACAGCAUAUCCCCCUUAUUUGGUCUAUCUUUAUAGGCUUCACAGCAUAUCCCCCCUUAUUUGGUCUGUCUUUACAGGCUUUACAGCAUAUCCCCCCUUAUUUGGUCUGUCUUCACGGGCUUUACAGCACAUCCCCCUUAUUUGGUCUGUCUUCACGGGCUUUACAGCAUAUCCCCCCUUAUUUGGUCUGUCUUCACAUGCUUUACAGCAUAUCCCCCUUAUUUGGUCUGUCUUCACAUGCUUUACAACAUAUCCCCCUUAUUUAGUCUGUCUUUACAGGCUUUACAGCAUAUCCCCCUUAUUUGGUCUGUCUUUACAGGCUUUACAGCAUAUCCCCCUUAUUUGGUCUGUCUUUACAGGCUUUACAGCAUAUCCCCUUAUUUGGUCUGUCUUUACAGGCUUUACAGCAUAUCCCCCUUAUUUAGUCUGUCUUUACAGGCUUUACAGCAUAUCCCCUUAUUUGGUCUGUCUUUACAGGCUUUACAGCAUAUCCCCCUUAUUUGGUCUGUCUUCACAG
ensembl:lncRNA